GAAAGCUGCCAUUAUCGAUUGC
rnacentral:miRNA from 1 species